rnacentral:rRNA from 1 species
GACGAACGCUGGCGGCGUGCCUAAUACAUGCAAGUUGAGCGCUGAAGGUUGGUACUUGUACCAACUGGAUGAGCAGCGAACGGGUGAGUAACGCGUGGGGAAUCUGCCUUUGAGCGGGGGACAACAUUUGGAAACGAAUGCUAAUACCGCAUAAAAACUUUAAACACAAGUUUUAAGUUUGAAAGAUGCAAUUGCAUCACUCAAAGAUGAUCCCGCGUUGUAUUAGCUAGUUGGUGAGGUAAAGGCUCACCAAGGCGAUGAUACGUAGCCGACCUGAGAGGGUGAUCGGCCACAUUGGGACUGAGACACGGCCCAAACUCCUACGGGAGGCAGCAGUAGGGGAUAUUCGGCAAUGGACGAAAGUCUGACCGAGCAACGCCGCGUGAGUGAAGAAGGUUUUCGGAUCGUAAAACUCUGUUGGUAGAGAAGAACGUUGGUGAGAGUGGAAAGCACAUCAAGUGACGGUAACUACCGAGAAAGGGACGGCUAACUACGUG